rnacentral:rRNA from 1 species
UGGGGAAUUUUGGACAAUGGACGCAAGUCUGAUCCAGCCAUGCCGCGUGCGGGAAGAAGGCCUUCGGGUUGUAAACCGCUUUUGUCAGGGAAGAAACGAGUUUCUCUAAUACAGAGACUUAAUGACGGUACCUGAAGAAUAAGCACCGGCUAACUACGUGCCAGCAGCCGCGGUAAUACGUAGGGUGCGAGCGUUAAUCGGAAUUACUGGGCGUAAAGCGUGCGCAGGCGGUUAUGUAAGACAGAUGUGAAAUCCCCGGGCUCAACCUGGGAACUGCAUUUGUGACUGUAUAGCUAGAGUACGGCAGAGGGGGAUGGAAUUCCGCGUGUAGCAGUGAAAUGCGUAGAUAUGCGGAGGAACACCGAUGGCGAAGGCAAUCCCCUGGGCCUGUACUGACGCUCAUGCACGGAAGCGUGGGGAGCAAACA